GGCUGGCUGGAGGAUGAUUAAGAGUGGUCUGCAGGCUGUACCCUGGUGGUGGCAAUGUGAGAGCUACAGCCACCGUCCAUAUGGACUUCUGUGCCUCUGGCUGCCAGCCUAUGACUUCGAAAGUGACAGCAGCUGCGAGGCCCUCAGGGCCAGAUGCUGUCAUAGAGGCCAGCUCCCUGGAGGCCAAGGGUCAUGAUCCUGACCACAGGUCAAGGCCCAGGCAGGAAGGUCUCCUCCUCAGCCAGAGGCAGCCCGCCACUCCAGGUGCCAAGCAGGAGCUUCAUAGCAGCCGCACUGGCAGGGCAGGUUGAGUACACCAGCAGCUGUCCUAGGCCUUUGUCACAGCCAAUCCAACUCUGCAAACUACCUCGAGCUCCCAACGCUGCCUCCUGGACACCGGCCACUCCAGAGACACAGCCUUCCUGUAUCCCAAGCAGCCAUCGGGCCCACACCCAGCUUUGGGGGCUAACCACCAGCCAAGCCGACCCUCCACCUGACCCUGGAUCAUCAGGUUUUGUGGCCAAGAACGGGGCCCAUCUAUCACCGUUAGAGCCCAUCUUGUCCCAUCUGUGGACAGGCCUGGUCUCGUCCCCACCUGUGCCCCUUAUGCCAUGCCUGGCUUGGUAACACCUCCGCAGCAUCCCCAGGAGCACUAUGUGCUGAGACGGCAGGGCAGGAGCUCACUCCUGGGGGCCUGUCCUGCAUUCUGUCAGCUCACUCAUUGGGAACUGCUCCCUCGGAGGGGGCAUGGCAUGCCUCAUCCAUCUCUCUCACUGCCUAUUGGCUGGGACUGAAUACACUGGAUCUAGGCCUCCCCUCACCUGCCUUCAUUGCCGUGGGGGAAGGAAGGGUGCCUCCCUCCUGCUCUGCUUGCAUGUGGCCUCCCCCACCGCCACAGCCCCUACAGUCCUGCCAAGGUCAGUUGCAGCAAGAAAUGCCUCCAACAGGACCGUAAGCAGCUACAGAGAUGAAUUAUGUGGGAGGACAUCCAGCGUCUGUUGCUGAUAAGGCCUGUAAGGCCUCUGCCUGGAGGGAACCACCAUCAGGAAGGGCUCGUUUCAAGAGAGCAUCCUCUGUCCUGAGGAGAGAGCGACCCGACUGCUUGGCUUCCCAGAGCACAAAGGUGCAUUUCAUUAACUUCAUUGCAUCAACUUCUGAUGACUUGAUUGUCCUUGAAGGGUGAGAGGAUCAAUCUUCAGUGCAUAUGGGGGGCCUAAAGCAGCAAGAUCCACACAGACCAGAGCGACCUACUCUGGACCAGACCUUUGUGGCACAGAACUGACUGCCAGGAUCCCGUGUCUCCUGCCUCAGGCACCCUGCAUGGGACACCGCAAAGCUUUCUAAAACAAACACAGUCUGGGGAUACAGAGGUUUUAUCUCCGGCUCCCAUGCUGGUCAAUGAACAGGGCCAGGGGCUGCUCUGGACACAGGAGAGAGAUCUGUCUUUAGUGACUUCAUGUCCAGCCCCUGCCUGACUCUGCCACCUCCCCACUUCCCUCUGUUGCCCUACCUCCUGCUCCAGGUGUUCUAAACAGCUGACACAGGGACAUAAUUGAUCUCAGAGCACGGUCCACUGCUCCCCUCCCUGGCCAAGUCCUGCGCUGCCCGCCCCCUGCCAGUCAUCACUCCAAGAGUUUCCUGGCACUCCCCACUCUCUCUGACACCCUCUCCUCCAGCCCUCAGCUCAGACCUCAGUCCUCAGCCCUGACUCCACACCUGCUUUCUUUGCUUUGCACGUCUGCACUUCUGGAGGCCAGGGUCAAGUCUGUCCCCUCAGCAGCUGCAACACCAAGACU